rnacentral:rRNA from 1 species
UACGGAGGGUGCAAGCGUUAUCCGGAUUCACUGGGUUUAAAGGGUGCGUAGGUGGGCAGGUAAGUCAGUGGUGAAAUCUCCGGGCUUAACCCGGAAACUGCCGUUGAUACUAUCUGUCUUGAAUAUCGCGUAGGUAAGCGGAAUAUGUCAUGUAGCGGUGAAAUGCUUAGAUAUGACAUAGAACACCAAUUGCGAAGGCAGCUUACCUCACGAUCAUUGACACUGAGGCACGAAAGCGUGGGGAGCAAACAGG